UACAGAGGGUGCAAGCGUUGUUCGGAAUUAUUGGGCGUAAAGCGCGUGUAGGCGGCUUUGCAAGUCGGGUGUGAAAGCCCUCGGCUCAACCGAGGAAGUGCGCCCGAAACUGCAGAGCUUGAGUACCGGAGAGGGUGGCGGAAUUCCAGGUGUAGCGGUGAAAUGCGUAGAUAUCUGGAGGAACACCGGUGGCGAAGGCGGCAUCCUGGACCGGCAUUGACGCUAAAGCGCGAAAGCCAGGGGAGCAAACGGG
rnacentral:rRNA from 1 species